rnacentral:rRNA from 1 species
UACGUAGGGUGCGAGCGUUAAUCGGAAUUACUGGGCGUAAAGCGUGCGCAGGCGGUUCGUUGUGUCGGUGGUGAAAUCCCCGGGCUUAACCUGGGAAUGGCCAUGGAAACUGGCGAACUGGAGUGCGGCAGAGGGGGGUGGAAUUCCGCGUGUAGCAGUGAAAUGCGUAGAGAUGCGGAGGAACACCGAUGGCGAAGGCAGCCCCCUGGGCUAGCACUGACGCUCAGGCACGAAAGCGUGGGGAGCGAAUGGG